GACGAACGCUGGCGGCGUGCUUAACACAUGCAAGUCGAACGGUAAGGCCCUUCGGGGUACACGAGUGGCGAACGGGUGAGUAACACGUGGGUGAUCUGCCCUGCACUUCGGGAUAAGCCUGGGAAACUGGGUCUAAUACCGGAUAGGACCACUGCCUGCAUGGGUGGUGGUGGAAAGCUUUUGCGGUGUGGGAUGGGCCCGCGUCCGAUUAGGUUGUUGGUGAGGUAAUGGCUCACCAAGCCUACGAUCGGUAGCUGGUCUGAGAGGAUGAUCAGCCAGACUGGGACUGAGACACGGCCCAGACUCCUACGGGAGGCAGCAGUAGGGAAUUUUCCACAAUGGGCGAAAGCCUGAUGGAGCAACACCGCGUGCAGGAUGAAGGCUUUCGGGUCGUAAACUGCUUUUACUAGUGACGAAUAUGACGGUAACUAGAGAAUAAGGAUCGGCUAACUACGUGCCAGCCGCCGCCGUAA
rnacentral:rRNA from 1 species